rnacentral:misc_RNA from 1 species
GACGUAGGGGGCGAGCGUUAUCCGGAUUCACUGGGCGUAAAGGGCGCGUAGGCGGCUACGGAAGUCCGGCGUGAAAUGUCGCGGCUCAACUGCGAAUCUGCGUCGGAUACUCCGUUGGCUCGAGGACGGUAGAGGUGAGUGGAACUAGCGGUGUAGCGGUGAAAUGCGCAGAUAUCGCUAGGAACGCCGGUGGCGAAGGCUGCUCACUGGGCCGAUCCUGACGCUGAGGCGCGAAAGCUAGGGGAGCGAACCGG